UACGGGGGGGGCAAGCGUUGUUCGGAAUUACUGGGCGUAAAGGGCUCGUAGGCGGCCAACUAAGUCAGACGUGAAAUCCCUCGGCUUAACCGGGGAACUGCAUCUGAUACUGGAUGGCUUGAGGUUGGGAGAGGGAUGCGGAAUUCCAGGUGUAGCGGUGAAAUGCGUAGAUAUCUGGAGGAACACCGGUGGCGAAGGCGGCAUCCUGGACCGACACUGACGCUGAGGAGCGAAAGCCAGGGGAGCAAACGGG
rnacentral:rRNA from 1 species